CAAGAAUGUUCAGUAAAGUAAGAUCUACAAACACAUCACUAUCAGCAAAACACAAUUUUGUCAUGAAUCCAUCUGUGUCCUUUGUUUAAUAUGCACAUAGACCAAGGUGAGCGACACAGGCUCUUUAGAGCCUCUAGUUUUCAUUUUAAAGCAUUUUAUUCCUCUUCAAUACAAAACAAUAUUUCAAUUGUGAUAUUGUCUUUUGCUUAUUUCAAGCUGUUUGAAAGAAAGAUCAUUCUGAAAGACUUGUACAAAAAUUAUAUAAACGUUUCAAAAAUCUUCCAAGUGCCUAUGUGGCUGAGUGAUCAAGUAGAUCAUCUGGGUUGAGUUCAAUAUUGGAGCAGCUACAUAACUGCUAUCAAUUUCUAUGUAGCAGCUAGUCUAUAGCUACACGUUCAAUAGUCAAAAUCUACGUAGCACUACGUAGCAGCUAUGAUAUUGAAAGCGACCCUGCUAUAUCACUUGAAGUUGAAUCUCAAUCUCAAAGUCCAUAAUUGUUUUGUCCAACACUGUGGUUUGCAUUGAAAUCCAAUAGGUGGCAGGUACGUUCUACUCCAAUCUAAAUUGACUUGGACUGCCAGUUUUUCUGGUGACCGUUGUGGUUCAAGCAUUUCCACCAAAUAAAACUGACCUCCAUAAUUAAGCCAAUAGGACUGGAAGUGGUUUUAAACACAAUUAAUCAAGAAUUUUCUGAAACUAUGCAUUACACAGUUUCUAAAUACUUAAUUGAUAUGAAUUACAAGUUAAGAAACCCUUACAAUUUCAUAGAUAUAUGCAGUUUGUUCAGUCCCCUUUGCUGGGAUGUCACUGAGGAGGGUUAUUGGGGAUCAUGACACUCUGAGUUAAAUAAUUCUAUUUCAAUCUGAAUCUCAACUUUAAAAGACUUUAAUUGUAAUGUUCAAACCUCUCUUGGUGAUUCAUGAAUUAAGUUUUUUGUGGUCAUGUUUUGUUCAGUAAUGAUACCUUACAAUAUCUGCCUUGAAUACGAUUACUUCUUUUAUGAUGUUUUGUUUUCUUGCCAAUCUUGAAAAAGGGAUUGGAAAGUUGAGUAGUAGUGACUGUGAAAGUGUAUAUUACAUACAAACCUUGAGGUGAAUUGAAUUAUAUUUGUUCUCAGUGAUGUCAAAAUAUGAUAAUAGAAUAGAAAAACUAAUGUUUAAUGAAGAUAAAAAAUGGGUGCAGUAGCCAAAUGACGUAUGCUUGAACAAAAAUUUACAUCUAAUUUCUGUGGUUUAAAACUAAUGACGCCAUUCUUAAGUACUGCAUAUUUGAUACUUUGGUUGAAAAUAAAAAUUUAAACAAACAAGUUGAAUGUUUUCUGGUAGCCCCAUGUUUCAUUGUCUGAAUAUUUGUCCAAUCCGUCAUUAAAUUCUACAGACUACCAAUUAACCUGAACUAAUUGCAGGAUAAUAUUCUGUAAAUGAUUAUGAAAGGUAAAGGUUAAUUAGUGUUUGUUAUUAUAUAUGUAAAUUCUAGUCAUCUUAUGCAUAUUCAUGAACAUCAUUGCAAAAAUAUUUUAUAAAAUUUUGUCAAAAACAAUUUUCAGAAACAAAUUAGGACAUAUCUUGUACUUUUAACACAUGGAAAGUACACUCAAAAGAUGAAUGCAAAUUUUAAAACAGACCUGCAGAAUUGAAUUUCAUUGAUAUAUCUGUUAGAAAUUGAAGUUUAAAGGUUGUACAUGUAUAAGUUUUUUUAAUUAACAAUUAUACUUGUGAUGGUUCUAAUGUUAUUGUGUCUGUUCUUUUUUACUUUAUACUGGUGCUUUUAAAAAUUUAUUUACACAUAUGAAGUAUUGCAAUGAAUUAUAGAUAUCAUAAUGUCUCUGUAUGUUUCUUGUUUGUUAUUAUUUAUAAUUCCAUAAUUCCAUAGUACUUUUUAUAGAUUUACAAGGUUAGCAUUCGAUCUAUGUGUUUUUAUGUCAUAUAAUUGUUUGAUAUCAUGAGAACAAUUGUCCAAAAGAUAUUUACUAAGUCAGAAUCAAUUAUUUUAAUUGAGUUUUUGUUGUUUAUUUAUUACAU
rnacentral:lncRNA from 1 species